rnacentral:rRNA from 1 species
GACGAACGCUGGCGGCGUGCCUAAUACAUGCAAGUUGAGCGAUGAAGAUUGGUGCUUGCACCAAUUUGAAGAGCAGCGAACGGGUGAGUAACGCGUGGGGAAUCUGCCUUUGAGCGGGGGACAACAUUUGGAAACGAAUGCUAAUACCGCAUAACAACUUUAAACAUAAUUUUUAAGUUUGAAAGAUGCAAUUGCAUCACUCAAAGAUGAUCCCGCGUUGUAUUAGCUAGUUGGUGAGGUAAAGGCUCACCAAGGCGAUGAUACAUAGCCGACCUGAGAGGGUGAUCGGCCACAUUGGGACUGAGACACGGCCCAAACUCCUACGGGAGGCAGCAGUAGGGAAUCUUCGGCAAUGGACGAAAGUCUGACCGAGCAACGCCGCGUGAGUGAAGAAGGUUUUCGGAUCGUAAAACUCUGUUGGUAGAGAAGAACGUGGGUGAGAGUGGAAAGCUCAUCAAGUGACGGUAACUACCCAGAAAGGGACGGCUAACUACGUG